rnacentral:rRNA from 1 species
CCUACGGGAGGCAGCAGUGGGGAAUUUUGGACAAUGGACGCAAGUCUGAUCCAGCCAUUCCGCGUGCAGGAUGAAGGCCCUCGGGUUGUAAACUGCUUUUGUACGGAACGAAAAGGUUUCCAUUAAUACUGGGAGCUCAUGACGGUACCGUAAGAAUAAGCACCGGCUAACUACGUGCCAGCAGCCGCGGUAAU